CGUGUGCAACAGAAGACGCUUUGUGUGCUUGUGGUAUGAUAUAUGAUCCUGUUUGUUCAAUGACUGGGAAAACGUAUGCAAACGAAUGUGUACUGAACUGCAAUCCUGGUGAAGUUUUGGCAACACGUGGAGAAUGUCCAACUAAGAAGUAGUCUUUACAAUUUGCAACGGACUGGUAUUGGAUACAAAAGACUGGAUACAUUGGACUUGAUAUUUUCUUCUUGAACACAUUUGUGAUUUACAUGUUGAUUGAUAUUUUUGACACUACUUUAAAAAAAAUCGCUAAUGAAAUAAAAC